UAUGACCCAACCAUGGAACACCCAGCAGUGUUCAGUCUGCCAACCUUCCCUCCUGAACUGCAAGAACCCCCUGCGUCUUAUAUGACCCAACCAUGGAACACCCAGCAGUGUUCAGUCUGCCAACCUUCCCUCCUGAACUGCAAGAACCCCCUGCGUCUUAUAUGACCCAACCAUGGAACACCCAGCAGUGUUCAGUCUGCCAACCUUCCCUCCUGAACUGCAAGAACCCCCUGCGUCUUAUAUGACCCAACCAUGGAACACCCAGCAGUGUUCAGUCUGCCAACCUUCCCUCCUGAACUGCAAGCUGCUCUCCAGAACCCCCUGCGUCUUAUAUGACCCAACCAUGGCCAGCAGUGUUCAGUCUGCCAACCUUCCCUCCUGAACUGCAAGCUGCUCUCCAGAGGAAAGAUCCUGCCUUUAAAAAGAAGGACAAAUCACAUAUACGGGCAUUAUUGAUUCAAGUGCUGUUUGAUAAUGUCAAACACACUUGGUAAGUUUAGUUCAAAAUAUAAAGCAGAUUUAUUUUUACUAAAAGUUAUUUUCCAUUUUCCCAGGGGUUUAUAAACUUCCAAGUUUUAGGGCCUGCUUACACAAAAUAAUUUUCACAGUUUUCUCUUGGUCAGUGGUGUAAUGGCGUUAUUUUUCACAGUUUUCUCUUGGUCAGUCGCGUGUUUUCCUAGGUUUCUCUUGGUCAGUGGCGUAUUGCGUUUUAGGUAGUGUACGAACGCGCCAGACCACUCCUUAGGUUGUUAAUUACCACACCCCUUGGCGCAUUAUUUAAAAAAGAGAGGUGCAAAAUACGAAAACAAACUUUGCGCUUGGAAAAUAAUGAGUUUUCCACCAUGCGCCAGGGUGGAAAAUAGGGAACGUAGUCUGAGACUAGUCUGUGAUUAUAGGAUGAGAUUAAAAAGUCCUAAAGUAGGCCCUUAGGAUGCAUUUCACUAACAAAUAAUUAUCUGUUUUAGGUAUCCCAGUCACAAAAUGUAUGGAGAUGUCCUGGGGAGUUUGAUUACAAAAUUUCCAUUCUUAAGAGAUGGCAGUUCAUCUACGUACAUGAGACAUUGUUAGAGUGCCUCCGUAACAAAUUCAAGAAGGAAAGGAUUCCACUUGUGCACAACUCCACAGUCCUCCAAAUGAAAAAAAAGUAUGGAACCAAAAAACGAAUGGUGGAGCAAACAUCCUAUGUGGACACUACCAUCGAACCUGAGCUGGCAAAAAGGAGAGCAGAAUUACUGGAUUAUUCAGCAUCACACAGUAACUCCAGUUCCUCGCUUGAGGUUUUAGAGCUGGAAGCAGUUGGAGAGGAUGACACCAGUUAUCAAGAGCACCUGAAUUUCAUCUUAAGGGAGUUGGCCAAGAAGCAACCAAAUUUGGCAGAAAUUAAAAUCAGGAUGAGGAGG